rnacentral:rRNA from 1 species
UACGUAGGGUGCGAGCGUUAAUCGGAAUUACUGGGCGUAAAGCGUGCGCAGGCGGUUUUGUAAGCCAGAUGUGAAAUCCCCGGGCUUAACCUGGGACUGCGUUUGAAACUGGGAGACUUGAGUGUGGCAGAGGGGGGUGGAAUUCCACGUGUAGCAGUGAAAUGCGUAGAUAUGUGGAGGAACACCGAUGGCGAAGGCAGCCCCCCUGGGUUAACACUGACGCUCAUGCACGAAAGCGUGGGGAGCAAACAGG